GGCAGACACAGACAGCCACAGGCUCUCCCUUUUUUCCUCUUGUCAAACAGAAUGAGAGCAUUGUCUGCCAAGCAGGCUGCUAUGCUGAUUUGGACUGUAAAGCCGAGGCCAGGGUGUGGUGGGUUUUUUAUGUAUCUAAAAAAAGUGUGUGUUUUGAGAGGGGGAGAGAGGGAAAGAUUAGUGAGGGAAGUAGUGUUGUGUGUCUGUGAAUGAUUUAUGAGAUGUGGGUUGCAGCUAAUGCUGGUUGGAUGAGCGAGGCACAUGGGCUGUUCUUACUCAUUCACUUCUUCAUAAACUAAACCAAAGCUCAGCUCUGCUUGUUUCCUCUUUGUACUCUCUUUCUUUCCAUGCAGGCUCUUUGUCUUACCUCAUUUAUUUUCUUCUUCAACCUAUUUCUACUAACUGCCUUCACCUUUCCUUCUGUUGUCGAGUUACAUUUGCCAAAAUCUCUCCUGAGAAUUGGACCUAGUCUCGCCUAUUGUUACGUUGUGCAGUGAAACUGAAUGACCCUACUCUACUGGUUUCUUGCAAGUUGGGACCCAGGAUGCAGGAAGCAUUAGGCAGUAAUGUCAAACAUCGCUGAAAGAAAGAUGUGUUGGUAUAUCAGAGAAUUUCCAAUAUAAUUCUUGUCAUUUCUUGAAUACCUUGCUACCAUGGUGUUUGGUAUCCCAUCAAAACCAUAGACGUUGGAACCAGUUACAAAUCAUUUUAAAACCACUGAACAUUUUAAUGUAUUCAUGUUGCUUAGAUCUACAAUUACAUUUAAUUAGGCAAAAAACAGUUAUUGGAGUGGAGUUCCCCUUUAAAGUAUCAGUACAAUAGGAGUCUUUGCAGCUAGCAAAAAGUUGACUGCAUAAAUGCUUACCCCAAAUGUUGUAAUCAAGCCUGUGAGUUCCCAGAUAAUGGGAAAUACAUAUCAAAGGGUGAAAUUCAACUGGAACUAAGGUUAUGGAGCCCGUAACACCAAGACCCUUUACUUACUUUUCAUUUUGCAGUUGUCAGUAGUAAAUUAAUGUUAUCAUCAGAAUCAUGAAUUAUUAUAUAUAUAUAAAGCAGGAGCUGCAGGAGGCCCCAUUCUAAAUUGGCUGAACUGAUGAUGACUGUAGAUAAUGAAAGUGUGUUAUUACAUAUUUACAACUGAAAGGAAACUUAACAGCAAUCUAUGCCACAGAGCUUGCCAUUCACAGAGCUUCUAAUCAACAGGAAACCGAAAGCUUAUAUGCAUUUUUGAAAAUGCCUAAAAGGAAACUGUCGCUCAGAACUUAAAUAGCACACUUGUUGCAUAGCUUGCAUCUUCUAAAAAACACAACCCUGACAGCCUAGAACAAAUCAAAAUAAAAUUGAUAAAAAAAAAUAACUAGCAUAAAGAUACGCUUCCUAUUGGCAUGUGACCCAUCGUUGAACAUACACCAUUUCCAUGCAUGAGUGUAUUGAUCAAGGAGGAAAAUACUGGCCCUGCCCUUGGGGGAGCUUGCAGGUAUCAACCAUCGAACAUACACACUAUGAUCAGUUUCAUUAGAUGCCAUUUAACCUUCCUGCAGGUUUCUGGAGACUGGAAGGAACCAGGAGCACCUGUAGGAAGUCCUAUAGAAAUC